rnacentral:misc_RNA from 1 species
UCUCCGUUGGUGAACCAGCGGAGGGAUCAUUACAGAGUUUUCACAACUCCCAACCCUUGCGAACCGUACCCAUUCUGUUCUCGUUGCUUCCGGCGGGGGGGACGGGGGGGCCCGAAACGGCCUCCCCGCCCCGCCCGCCGGGGGCGGCGGGCCCUACGAACCUUUAUAUCUCUACCACCAGAAACCGUCUGAGAAAACAAACAAAAUAAUCAAAACUUUCAACAACGGAUCUCUUGGCUCUG